rnacentral:rRNA from 1 species
CACUUCUAAGGAAGGCAGCAGGCGCGCAAAUUACCCAAUCCUGACUCAGGGAGGUAGUGACAAGAAAUAACAAUAAACCGGCUUAUGCCGGUUUAAUUGGAAUGAGUACAAUUUAAACAUCUUAACGAGGAACAAUUGGAGGGCAAGUCUGGUACCAGCAGCCGCGGUAAUUCCAGCUCCAAUAGCGUAUACUAAAGUUGUUGCAGUUAAAAAGCUCAUAGUUGGAUUUCUGUGGGGACGGAGCGGCCGGCCGCACAUCGCGGUUCGAGCUAGCGCUUUCCCUACAUCCUGCCGCGAACCGUGCUACCAUUAGUUUGGUGGCGCCGGGGAUCGGCUCGAUUACUUUGAGAAAAAUAGAGUGUUCAAAGCAGGCCACACGCCUUGAAUAAGUUAGCAUGGAAUAAUAACUAAGGACUUCGGUUCUAUUUUGUUGGUGUUCGGGACUGAAGUAAUGAUUGAUAGGGACAGUUGGGGCGGUCUGUAUUCCAAAGCGAGAGGUGAAAUUCUUAGACCUUCGGAAGACAAACAGCUGCGAAAGCGUUCCGCAAGGAUGUUCCCUUUGAUCAAGAACGAAAGUUGGGGGAUCGAAGACGAUCAGAUACCGUCGUAGUCUCAACUAUAAACUAUACCAGCUAGGGAUCGGCCAACGUUAUUUUAUACCGACUUGGUCGGCACCUUAUGAGAAAUCAAAGCAUCUGGGUUCCGGGGGGAGUAUGGUCGCAAGGCUGAAACUUAAAGGAAUUGACGGAAGGGCACCACCAGCCGUGGAGCCUGUGGCUUAAUUUGACUCAACACGGGAAAACUUACCAGGUCCAGACAUAGUAAGGAUUGACAGAUUGAUAGCUCUUUCUUGAUUCUGUGGGUGGUGGUGCAUGGCCGUUCUUAGUUGGUGGAGUGAUUUGUCUGGUUAAUUCCGUUAACGAACGAGACCCCAGCCUGCUAAAUAGCGCGAGUGAGCUUUGCUCGCUGCGAGCUUCUUAGAGGGACUAUGAUGCGCGAUAGCACAUGGAAGUUUGGGGCAAUAACAGGUCUGUGAUGCCCUUAGAUGUUCUGGGCCGCACACGGGCUACACUGGCGCCUGCAACGAGCAUAUCAGCUGGCCCGAGAGGGUCUUGGCUAAUCUUUUGAGCCGGCGCCGUGCUUGGGAUUGACCUUUGCAAUUGUUGGUCAUGCAACGAGGAAUGCCUUGUAAACGCGAGUCAUCAGCUCGCAUUGAAUACGUCCCUGCCCUUUGUACACACCGCCCGUCGCUCCUACCGAUGAAUGUUCCGAUGAAAUUUUCGGAGAGCACCUGUGAACUUGGCUCCGCCUUGCGAACGGGAGGCUCAAAGUCGCUUAAAUCUGAACAUU